GAUGAACGCUGGCGGCGUGCUUAACACAUGCAAGUCGAACGGAAAGGCUCCUGCUUGCAGGGGUACUCGAGUGGCGAACGGGUGAGUAACACGUGGGUGAUCUGCCCUGUACUUCGGGAUAAGCUUGGGAAACUGGGUCUAAUACCGGAUAGGACAACUUUUUGGAUAUUGUUGUGGAAAGCUUUUGCGGUAUGGGAUGAGCUCGCGGCCUAUCAGCUUGUUGGUGGGGUAAUGGCCUACCAAGGCGUCGACGGGUAGCCGGCCUGAGAGGGUGUACGGCCACAUUGGGACUGAGAUACGGCCCAGACUCCUACGGGAGGCAGCAGUGGGGAAUAUUGCACAAUGGGCGCAAGCCUGAUGCAGCGACGCCGCGUGGGGGAUGAAGGCCUUCGGGUUGUAAACUCCUUUCGCUAGGGACGAAGCUUUUUUGUGACGGUACCUGGAGAAGAAGCACCGGCUAACUACGU
rnacentral:rRNA from 1 species